CCCGAGAUGAGUUCUCCCUGAGACUAUAAGUCUCCUGAAGGAACGUUAAAGACGAUGACGUUGAUAGGCCGGGUGUGUAAGCGCAGCGAUGCGUUGAGCUAACCGGUACUAAUGAACCGUGAGGCUUAACCUUACAACGCCGAAG
rnacentral:rRNA from 1 species